ensembl:snRNA U6 U6 spliceosomal RNA
GUGCUCACUUCAGCAGCCCAUGUACUAAAAUUGGAACGAUACAGAGAAUAUUGACAUGUCCCCUGUACAAGGCUGACAUGUAAAUACAUGAAGAGUUCCAUAUUAUU